ACAUACAUACAUACUGAAGGAAAAAUCAUCUUUUUUCUUUGUAGGAUUUUUCAGAUUUCAUCAAAUCUGGGGCGGAAUAAUUUUAAAAAAAUUAUCUUAUAUUUAUUUUAGAUCUAAAUCUCUAGAUCUGAUCUUCAUAUUUGAUAUUAAGUCUAAAAUAAAUAUAAAAAGGAUAAGAAAAUAAGUAAUACCUCAAGGAUAAUCUGAUUACCCUGUAGAUGAUCUCUGCACAGUCUGAGGUUCUGAUGUAGCCAUGCAAGCGCCUGGCCUCUACCGGUAUCCACUCG
rnacentral:lncRNA from 1 species